rnacentral:lncRNA from 1 species
AAUGCUGUGGAUCCGUUGGACCAGAGGAUUGGCGUUUAUCUUGGUGGGUCCAGAACAAUGGCACGGGCGGUGUACCUUUAUCUUGUUGUAAUGACGAAGCAUGCUGGGAAGAUGGCUAUGAUUCAGAUAAAAUAUACCAAAGGGGUUGUGUGGAAGUGUUAUAUGGAUAUAUCUACAACUAUUUUACUGCUAUUGCCGGGGUUUGUUUUGGAGUGUUGGGUAUUGAGAUUUUCGCUAUGGUCUUAUCCUGCCUGUUACUUUUUGCUAUAAAAGAAAAGACAAAAAUAUGAUGUAUCGACUGCCGUGGAUCAUUGACUGCUGAAACGUUUGAUGAUUGUACCUAUUGUUUAAUCGACAUAUUCUAAAUAUAAAUUUGGUGUUUGGGAAAAAAAGCAUUUCUGUAGUACAGUUGUAAAUAAAACUAAUUUAUAUAGUGUUUUAGUACUAACAUUUUGAGUGAAAAACAGUAAAAUGAUCCAACCCAUAACCCAUAUACUAUUUAAUUGUCUUUAAUUAAGAACACAAUUUUAAUCAAUGUCGACCUUAGUUGACCUGAAAUGACCUAAAGGUUGAACACAUCAGGCUUCGAUUUCAAAAUACAAAUUUAAACAAAUAAUUGACCUGAGCCACAUAGGUGGUUGUGCAAAUAACUUUAAAUUAUUUAAUAGGCCUAUGCAGAACAGAAAACCUUAAAAAAAUCUGUUUAUGUCUGAUGUGAAAUAAUUUUGAGAAAAAAAUAACACAGUAUAAUUUAAAAAGUAUUUGGUUUUCCUACUUGCAGACUAGUCCAGGCCUAUUACUGUAUGAAGAACACGGUCACCAAGAGGAAAAACUGUAACAUUGGAAAGGGUUAGUGGGGCCCCUGUUACGAGCGCAAAGCGCGAGAAAGAUUGCGCCGAAGGUGCCAACAUUUUUUUUGAUCCUGUUAAUCUGGAGGAGCCCAUUAUUAGGGGUCCAUGGCAUUAUUGAGGGCCCAUGAUAAUAAUUAUUAUUUUUGAAAAAAAAAAUAUUGGAAAAAAAAAUGCUACCUGUUUUUAUGGCGCCCCUGGUAAGCUUGGGCCCGGAGAUCUUUCCCGCUGGCCGCCCCAACCCCUCUCUCGGUGGCCCUGAAAAAGAACAGUAAUAUGAUCCUCGAUGCUUCAUGCUAUUUUAGAAAUCCACAAUAAAGUGGUACGGAGAUUUACUAUAUCCCAUAUUAAAGGUAUACCACCUGUUACGUGCUAAAAAAGAACUCAAAAUUUAUGAGCUUUCAAAAUGAUAAAAAAAAACAACUUAUCGCCAAUAAUGGAUCUUACCUAUAGGCCUAUUAUUUGUAUUUGCAUACCGUAGGCCUAUUAUUUGUAUUUGCAUACCGUAGGCCUAUUAUUUGUAUUUGCAUACCGUAGAUCCUUAAAUAAGUUAGUAAUCAAUCUUGUAGUCGGAAUUAGCAAAAUCUGAAUUGCUACAAGUUUAAAUUUCAUGCAAUCCAUUAUAAUCAUUGGGAAAUUAGAAAUAAUUUUAGAUUCUGAUAACAAUUAAAACAGAGUAUAUUAAUUAUAUUAGUUGUAAUGUACUGUAUACGUAUUCGUACGAUUUUCAUAGCAAACAACAGUGUGCUGUAAAGAGGCGGUUGGAUAUCGCUUUGUACAUUUUUGAUAAGCAGCUCUCUGGAAUAAGCACCACAUUAUUACAAAGUGUCAUGCUUUUUCGUUAUCAUCCAUAAACUAUUUGUAUACGAACUGUAAAUAGGUCAUGAGGCGGAUGCAGGAUUUGGUGGUAGGGGUGCGUGGGAAUCCACCAUGGUUGGGGCUGAGUGUGAAAAUGUUGAGAAUUUGGACCCUAAGUUUCCCGAAAAUUGCACUCUCAUACUUUUAAAUCUUACGGGUACUAUAUAUUAAUAAAAUAAUAUUCAAUUAUUUUUUUAAUACAAUUUACGGGGUGCGAUCGCACGGUUGCACCCCCACCCCCAAAAAUCCGCCCCGGAGGCCUAAUACAUGUCAGAUACGCCAUUUACCACUUUAACACUCCAAUAUUUGUAGUAAGUGCUGAUCUUGAUAAGGUUACACUGUAGCAAGCCCUUGCACUAAGUCUGCAAAAAUUGUAUAAGGACCGCGGAACUAGUAGAUCAUUUACAGAAAAUGACAAUGUUGUGUAGGCGAUUAAAAUAUGGUAAUCAGACCGCCAUUAUACAUACUCUAGUUUUAGUACAGUAAUGGUAUAUUCGUCAGUCAAUAAGAGUGUUUCCUGUACAAUACCUGAAGCAAUUAUCACUGUGAGUACAACAGAAUACUACUAAAUACACGUCGUCUUACAAUGGCGGUAAAUAUUUAUUUGAGCAUUAAGAAGAUUCCGCUGGAAGAAGUACAUACAAAUACAAUUUAAAAAAUCGUACAAAAAAAGAAAAUAAACGCAUAUCAAGAAGUUAAACUUGCCUAAGUCGACUUUGCCGGACUCAAAUAAUUUCCCAAGUCGAUCAAUUUUCCAUGCCAAAUUGUUGUUUUCCAUUAAUUAAUGAUCUGCAGGUCGAAUUUUCAAUGCUAUUUUGGAUUCGAUUUAGGCAAGUUCAACUUACCACUUCCACGAAUGUCCAAUUACAAAUCAAACUACAGUAAGUGUACCAUCAAAACCCAUUAAAACCAACCCAGAGAGGUACAAUAUUAAUAAUAGUUGAUGUCGAUCCGCGAUCCUUGCACAUGCUGCCUUGCUGUGAAUACCAGACAAAAACGGACAAUGUGAAAUACAACAUGGUACAGUUUUUUUGAUUCAAUCAACAUUUAGGCAAGUUAAUGAACAUUACACCCAAAUUGAAAUGUUUUUGUAGCUGUAUACCAUGUGUUUAUUGACAUACUGAAUUAAAACCAGCACAAAUAUAAUGAGUGUACAUGAUAAUGAUUUUACAUUUGUAAUUUUCCCAGCGUCUCAAAAUUGAAAAGUAUUUCCAAAACGUAUUAUCAAUGUGGUCAGAAAUCAAGGUUGGUUUUGCCACAACUUCUGUUAAUAGGGAGCCUUCAAUUUGUUUGACAUGACGCUGGAACAGAAUCAUUCGUGCGUGACCGGCCUACGGGGUGUCCUACGUUCUCUGGGCAUUUUCAGACACUACUUGCGCUAGUGCAACGUUAAUCGAGUGGCGUGAAGGUGUGCACGAACGCCAGUAUUAUCGAGCAAUCACUGGUAAUCCAGCAACAGACACCAAA